GUCGACGAAGUCUUCGGACUUAGUGGCGGACGGGUGAGUAACACGUGGGAACGUGCCUUUAGGUUCGGAAUAACUCAGGGAAACUUGUGCUAAUACCGAAUGUGCCCUUCGGGGGAAAGAUUUAUCGCCUUUAGAGCGGCCCGCGUCUGAUUAGCUAGUUGGUGAGGUAAAGGCUCACCAAGGCGACGAUCAGUAGCUGGUCUGAGAGGAUGAUCAGCCACAUUGGGACUGAGACACGGCCCAAACUCCUACGGGAGGCAGCAGUGGGGAAUCUUGCGCAAUGGGCGAAAGCCUGACGCAGCCAUGCCGCGUGAAUGAUGAAGGUCUUAGGAUUGUAAAAUUCUUUCACCGGGGACGAUAAUGACGGUACCCGGAGAAGAAGCCCCGGCUAACUUCGUGCCAGCAGCCGCGGUAAUACGAAGGGGGCUAGCGUUGCUCGGAAUUACUGGGCGUAAAGGGAGCGUAGGCGGACAUUUAAGUCAGGGGUGAAAUCCCGGGGCUCAACCUCGGAAUUGCCUUUGAUACUGGGUGUCUUGAGUGUGAGAGAGGUAUGUGGAACUCCGAGUGUAGAGGUGAAAUUCGUAGAUAUUCGGAAGAACACCAGUGGCGAAGGCGACAUACUGGCUCAUUACUGACGCUGAGGCUCGAAAGCGUGGGGAGCAAACAGGAUUAGAUACCCUGGUAGUCCACGCCGUAAACGAUGAUUGCUAGUUGUCGGGAUGCAUGCAUUUCGGUGACGCAGCUAACGCAUUAAGCAAUCCGCCUGGGGGAGUACGGUCGCAAGAUUAAAACUCAAAGGAAUUGACGGGGGCCCGCACAAGCGGUGGAGCAUGUUGGUUUAAUUCGAAGCAACGCGCAGAACCUUACCACCUUUUGACAUGCCUGGACCGCCAGAGAGAUCUGGCUUUCCCUUCGGGGACUAGGACACAGGUGCUGCAUGGCUGUCGUCAGCUCGUGUCCUGAGAUGUUUGGGUUAAGUCCCGCAACGAGCGCAACCCUCGCCAUUAGUUGCCAUCAUUCAGUUGGGAACUCUAAUGGGACUGCCGU
rnacentral:rRNA from 1 species